GGCUCGUUAGCUCAGUGGUUAGAGCGUCACGCUGAAUUGUAUUCGAGUGAUGGUCGUAGGUUCGAAUCCUACACGAGCCC
rnacentral:tRNA from 1 species